rnacentral:sRNA from 1 species
UAAUUAUUUAUUAUUGUUUUAUAAUAAUAAUUAAUUAAAUUAUUACUUAAAUGGGUUAAUCCAUUUAACAACUCAACCCAUCAAAUUAAAUGAGUUAUGGGUUGACCUAACCCAUUUAACAAAAUGAGUUGGGUCAACCCAUAACUCAUUUAACCCUAAACUCAUUUGAUUAUAAGUUAAGUUGAGUUGGAUUAUCCAUUUUGACACCCCUACAUUUGGACAUACAUAUAUUUCUCUUACU